rnacentral:rRNA from 1 species
UACGGAGGGUGCAAGCGUUAUCCGGAUUCACUGGGUUUAAAGGGUGCGUAGGAGGGCAGGUAAGUCAGUGGUGAAAUCCCCGAGCUUAACUUGGGAACUGCCGUUGAUACUAUCUGUCCUGAAUAUUGUGGAGGUGAGCGGAAUAUGUCAUGUAGCGGUGAAAUGCUUAGAUAUGACAUAGAACACCAAUUGCGAAGGCAGCUCGCUACACAUAUAUUGACUCUGAGGCACGAAAGCGUGGGGAUCAAACAGG